rnacentral:rRNA from 1 species
UACAGAGGGUGCGAGCGUUGUUCGGAAUUAUUGGGCGUAAAGCGCGCGCAGGCGGGAGGGCAAGUCGGAUGUGAAAGCCCUCGGCUCAACCGAGGAAGUGCGUUCGAAACUACUGUUCUUGAGUGUCGGAGAGGGUGGCGGAAUUCCCGGUGUAGAAGUGGAAUUCGUAGAUAUCGGGAGGAACACCAGAGGCGAAGGCGGCCACCUGGACGAACACUGACGCUGAGGCGCGAAAGCGUGGGGAGCAAACAGG